GACGAACGCUGGCGGUGUGCUUAACACAUGCAAGUCGAACGGAAACGCCCUGCUUUCUUGGGCUGCUCGAGUGGCGAACGGGUGAGUAACAGGUGAGUAACCUGCUCUAGACUUUGGGAUAGCUUCAGGAAACGGGAGCUACUACCGUACAGCAGCCCCCCCUCCAUGGAGGGGGUGGGAAAGUCGCGGCGGGCGGGGAUGGAUGCGCGGCUGAUCAGCUUGUUGGUGGGGUGGUGGCUGACCAAGGCUUUGACGGGUAGCCGGCCUGAGAGGGUGGCCGGCGACAUUGGGACUGAGGGACGGACCAGACUCCUACGGGAGACAGCGGUGGGGAAUAUUGCACAAUGAGAGGAAGCCGGAUGCAGAGACGCCGCGUGCGGGAUGACGGCCUUCGGGUUGUAAACAGCAGUCGCCUGUGACGAAGCGUGAGUGACGGUAAUGAGUAAAGAAGCACCGGCUAACUACGUG
rnacentral:rRNA from 1 species